rnacentral:rRNA from 1 species
ACCGCGGUAUACGGAAGAUGCAGUGUUAUCCGGAUUUAUUGGGUUUACGUGUGCGUAGGUGGUCUAAUAAGUCAGUGGUGAAAUCUCUUUGCUUAACAAGGAAAUUGCCAUUGAAACUGUUAGACUUGAGAAUGGACGAGGUAGGCGGAAUUCGUAGUGUAGCGGUGAAAUGCAUAGAUAUUACGAAGAACUCCAAUAGUGUAGACUGCUUACCAGACCAUAUCUGACACUAAGGCACGAAAGUGUGGGUAUCAAACAGGAUUAGAUACCCUGGUAGUCCACACAGUAAACGAUGAAUACUAACUGUUUGCGAUAUACAGCAAGUGGUCGAGCGAAAGCGUUAAGUAUUCCACCUGGGAAGUAUGCCGGCAACGGUGAAACUCAAAGGAAUUGACGGGGGCCCGCACAAGCGGAGGAACAUGUGGUUUAAUUCGAUAAUACGCGAGGAACCUUACCCGGGCUCGAACGAUAUUUGAAUACAUCCGAAAAGAUGUAGCUAGCAAUAGCAAAUACCGAGGUGCUGCAUGGUUGUCGUCAGCUCGUGCCGUGAGGUGUCGACUUGAGUGUCAUAACGAGCGCAACCCUUACCGAUAGUUACCAUCAGAUAAUGCUGGGGACUCUAUUGGGACUGCCACCGUAAGGUGUGAGGAAGGAGAGGAUGACGUCAAAUCAGCACGGCCCUUAUGUCCGGGGCGACACACGUGUUACAAUGGGAGAAACAAAGGGUCGCUACCUGGCAACAGGAUGCUAAUCUCGAAAAUCUCUCUCAGUUCGGAUGGGAGUCUGCAACUCGACUCCCUGAAGCUGGAUUCGCUAGUAAUCGCACAUCAGCCAUGGUGCGGUGAAUACGUUCCCGGGCCUUGUACAC